UCCAUAGUUAUCUCCUGCUGACGUCAGAGUGAGCGCCGUUAUCCCCUUUGUUUACAUGAUGCGAUUUUUUGCAAUGGCGGACGUAGCCAAAAUAGAGCUGCUUUUAAUCUUGCUAACAGGACUUUCUACAUGUUUACACAAAUGUUCAGUUACUCUCCCACUGUAGCAAAUUACUGGUAUUUCGAUGGACUUGCACGGUGCCACCCUUAUGCUGACAAAGCCCGGAUCUUAAACACAGUGUUCAGAUCUCCCCAUAACCAGCCAAAGGAUAGAAGCAAAACUCUUUGAAACAGGUAAUAAUCUGUGUACAGCCCUAUUUAUUUUUCAGGUGUACGUAUUUGUAAUACUACACAUGCCUAAUAUUUUGCUACCUUCAUUUACUGUGCAUUGUCCUUGUCAUCACUUGAGUCUGGAGCGGUAGGAAAAGUAAUGUGUGACACUGACCAGGUAAGAAUGCCAAAGAGGUCGACAACGUAUCAAGUGAGAACAUUUUAUUACUUUACCCCGACUUAGGAAAAUAUCGAUUGUCAUAUCUGAGUAAAAUAUCCAAACAGACAAUUACUCAGGUAAAAUAUAUACUGACUAAAAGUAUCUGGUAAAAAUAAAGCCUUUUCAACUAAUUUGUUGCUGAAAUUAACUCUUCCAUAUAUGAUCAAAAGGACUCAGGUCAUUCUCCUCAUCAACCUUUUGAGGAGGAGGAUCAUCUUCCUUCCAACAUGCCUCAACCAUACCUCUCCCCUAAAAAACGUAACAUCAACAAGGCUGCUCUGAAAGCCACUCUUCCAUUGAUUGUGAGUUCGAAGACAAACCACCAGAAUGGAAUCAGUAGUGUCACUAGCCAUUCCAAGUUCCAGUCAACUGAGUGGAGCCGGUUCACAGGCCAGACCAGCAUCAGCCUUUCCAGGACGUAGGUGUCUCUUACAGAUGGUUUAUAACCAGAUCAGAUCACCGGAAGUUGGGCAAAGGCCAGAGGCUCAUUUAUCAAGAACUUCAAAACCUUCCUCAACCGGGGGACAGAAUGUGAAGCAAAUAGAAUGGCAUGUGUGCGGGAAGGUCUUCUCACCGGACUUGGCAACCCAAUUGAACUGGUGCGGGAGGGGGCAGAAGACUAUCAUCCGGUCAAUACCAGUAAAGGACGCUAUUAUGUGAAAGAGGAAAAGAGACAGACUUCCUUGACCCGCUGAGGGACAUGGACGACGCUAACCGGACCAUCCUGCAGCGAGGACAGGAGCAGCAGGACCAUUAUAUGCAGCCGCUAUACUGAGGAGAGAGCCGCAUUAAGAGUGAUAAGGAGGUGAGAGUAGGUAUUCCUCGAGUCUCCGGCGGAAGAAACUGAGCUAUGUGUAGUAACCGUGUACAGUGUUAUGUAUAUUAUUUCUUUAUCUUCUUGCUAUAUUUUUAUAAUUCUCACUGUAGUUGAAGUGGGCUAUGCCACCAUUCAUACGCAUAUUACACUCAUGUAUGUAUAAUAUUCAAUAAUACUACAAAUUGCUGCUGGUUUACUUAUGUUACUGCCAUAUCUAAAUGUUCAAUAAUACUACCCAGAUUGCUUCUGGUUUACAGUACUCUUUGUAUUUUACACCUACAUUUUUGCAGAUUAAAUAUUUGUUGAACCAAAUACGUGUAUAGUGGCUGUUUGUGUAAAUCUGAAAACAGAGGAACUUCCACACACUGUCUUGCUCACUGCUGAAAUAUUUCUUAAAUCUAAACGUUUGCAGAAAUUGUGUACAGUGACACACUGUAUUAAUGCCGACUCUAAAUGAGAAAUGCUCCUGUACUGAGUUGGUUGCAGGUUUCCACAGUGUAAUGGCGAUCCUUUUUUUGAGUAGGUACACGACGGCGGUGUCAUGUCAUCCCAGUUAUGGUUGCAAUCGACGGUACAGGUACAGAAACGUGUCCUAGAAUUCUUUAUCCACUAGGCCUCGUUAAAGUUGAAACCACGGUUUCCCACCGUUGGUGUACCCAAACGGAUGUAGAAACACAACGCAUUCUGUAGUACUCGCAUAUCUGAAACACACAAAAAGGUGCCAAUAAUAAGUUGAUGUAGUUUACUGUAACAUUAUUCCCAAUUGUGAUUUACUUAAACGUAUAUAGGCCUACUAGAAAAAAUCUUACCAUUCCCUUUUUUUGUAAACGAGUAUCCAUCUUAUCAGUCAUCUCAUGUUCAAUCUCCACGAUAACUCGUAAAAUCCAUUCAUUAUAUUUGUAUUGCAACUCGACUAGCAUUUCAGGGAUUUUGAAUCCGCUUUGCUACUACUGCUCAUGUCUUCCAGUGACCACAUUUGCAAACCAAUAAAUCUUGAUCAACACAACACGAAUCUCCACCAUGGUUGCUGUGGUGUUGCAGUGUGGCAUAAAUAAUAAAGAUGCCUGUCUGUAGCUUUGUAUGGCGUAUGGUGCAUACGACAGCGGACUAAUUAGCCUAAUCUUUGUGGGUCUUCAGACCGCGGUGGAAACACAACAAUGGGCUGAAGGAACCCUAUAGUUCCUUGAAUAGCAGUUCCUGGGACUCAAAGUCCUGGUUACUUUUUGGUGGAAAAGCAGUUAUUGUGAAUGUUGUCUAACAAAAUGUCUUGAUUAUUAGGCCUAUUCUUUUUUUCUUGACGUUGGGGAAAGAUUUUGCUGUGGCCCCGCCACCACGGUAAAAUGACCACAACGUACACUGCUAUACUUAAAGCAAUCGCUUCAUAUUUUGUCUUCCAGGUUAUGUUCUUAAAAACCCACGUUUGCCAGGAAUUACAAAGGCCGAGGUUGAAAGGGCAGUUAAAAACUCAGGCUGAGCCAAGAAGACCAACUUGGGACGUCAGCAGGAGGGAGAGACCUGAGGAAGAUUAAUUUGUAGCCUAUAUAAUGCACAGUUGUUGGGUGUUUUUAUUUAGGCUGCAUGUUUUUUGAUUUUUGGUAAAGUUGUACUUUCUGUAAAUAAAGUUCAUACUUUAUUCUUUA